rnacentral:rRNA from 1 species
UACGGAGGGUGCGAGCGUUGUCCGGAAUCACUGGGCGUAGAGGGCGCGUAGGCGGCCUGAUAAGUAGGGGGUGAAAUCUUGCGGCUUAACCGCAAGGCUGCCUUCUAAACUGUCGGGCUAGAGCACAGUAGAGGCAGGUGGAAUUCCCGGUGUAGCGGUGGAAUGCGUAGAGAUCGGGAAGAACAUCAGUGGCGAAGGCGGCCUGCUGGGCUGUUGCUGACGCUGAGGCGCGACAGCGUGGGGAGCAAACAGG